rnacentral:rRNA from 1 species
GAUGAACGCUAGCGACAGGCUUAACACAUGCAAGUCGAGGGGCAGCGGGGAUUGUAGCAAUACAAUUUGCCGGCGACCGGCGCACGGGUGAGUAACGCGUAUGCAACCUACCUAUCAGAGGGGGAUAGCCCAUUGAAAGAUGGAUUAAUACCGCAUAAAACAGGGAUUCCGCAUGGAAAUAUUUGUUAAAGAUUUAUUGCUGAUAGAUGGGCAUGCGUUCCAUUAGUUAGUUGGUAAGGUAACGGCUUACCAAGACAUCGAUGGAUAGGGGUUCUGAGAGGAAGGUCCCCCACACUGGUACUGAGACACGGACCAGACUCCUACGGGAGGCAGCAGUGAGGAAUAUUGGUCAAUGGGCGAGAGCCUGAACCAGCCAAGUCGCGUGAAGGAUGACUGCCCUAUGGGUUGUAAACUUCUUUUAUAAGGGAAUAAAAAGAGGAACGAGUUCUUUAUUGUAUGUACCUUAUGAAUAAGCAUCGGCUAACUCCGUGCCAGCAGCCGCCGUAACAC